rnacentral:rRNA from 1 species
UAGUCCACGCUGUAAACGAUGAUUACUCGGUGCUGGCGAUACACUGUCAGUGCCUAAGCGAAAGUGAUAAGUAAUCCACCUGGGGAGUACGAUCGCAAGGUUGAAACUCAAAGGAAUUGACGGGGGCCCGCACAAGCGGUGGAGCAUGUGGUUUAAUUCGAUGAUACGCGAGGAACCUUACCUGGGCUUAAAUGCAUAAUGACAGACUGGGAAACCAGUCCUUCUUCGGACAGAAUGCAAGGUGCUGCAUGGCUGUCGUCAGCUCGUGCUGUGAGGUGUCGGGUUAAGUCCCAUAACGAGCGCAACCCCUAUUUCUAGUUGCCAGCACAUAAUGGUGGGGACUCUAGAAAAACUGCCCGCGCAAGCGGUGAGGAAGGUGGGGACGACGUCAAGUCAUCACGGCCCUUACGUCCAGGGCUACACACGUGCUACAAUGGCGGUGACAGUGAGCAGCGACCCCGCGAGGGUGAGCUAAUCUCCAAAAACCGUCUCAGUUCGG